rnacentral:lncRNA from 1 species
GGGGAGAAACGAAUCGGGCAGCCGGAAUUAGCCGGAAUAAUGCCGGCUGCCCGUUCAUACUCUGGUCUAAAUGGGCCUUUCGGACGUCAACGAUAGCCAUUGAAUUUGUAGAUCCUGGAAUCUGCUGGAUUUGUAGCUGCGGUGGAUUUGAUGAAAGUUUCAGUGUUUCCAUUUAAAUAAAUAAAUAAAUAAAGGUUUUAGAGUUGGGUAGGUCUUGCAGUCUUGACUAUUAGACCAGAGAUUAAUAGUC